UACGUAGGGUGCAAGCGUUAAUCGGAAUUACUGGGCGUAAAGCGUGCGCAGGCGGUUUUGUAAGUCUGUUGUGAAAUCCCCGGGCUCAACCUGGGACCUGCAUUUGUGACUGCAUCGCUAGAGUACGGCAGAGGGGGGAUGGAAUUCCGCGUGUAGCAGGUGAAAUGCCGUAGAUAUGCGGAGGAACACCGAUGGCGAAGGCAAUCCCCUGGGCCUGUACUGACGCUCCAUGCACGAAAGCGUGGGGAGCAAACAGG
rnacentral:rRNA from 1 species